rnacentral:rRNA from 1 species
CCUACGGGUGGCAGCAGUCGAGAAUCAUUCACAAUGGGGGAAACCCUGAUGGGGCGACGCCGCGUGGGGGAAUGAAGGUCUGCGGAUUGUAAACCCCUGUCAUGUGGGAGCAAAUUAAAAAGAUAGUACCACAAGAGGAAGAGACGGCGAACGCUGUGCCAGCAGCCGCGGUAAUACAGAGGUCUCAAGCGUGGGUCGGAACCACUGGGCGUAAAGUGUGCGUAGGCUGUUGCGUAAGUCGUGUGUGAAAGGCGCGGGCUCAACCCGCGGACGGCACGUGAUACUGCGAGACUAGAGUAAUGGAGGGGGAACCGGAAUUCUCGGUGUAGCCGUGAAAUGCGUAGAUAUCGGGAGGAACCCUCGUGGCGAAGGCGGGUUCCUGGACAUUAACUGACGCUGAGGCACGAAGGCCAGGGGAGCGAAAAGGAUUAGAUACCCCUGUAGUC